rnacentral:rRNA from 1 species
UACCAGCACCCCCGAGUGGUCGGGACGUUUAUUGGGCCUAAAGCAUCCGUAGCCGGUUCUACAAGUCUUCCGUUAAAUCCAACUGCUUAACAGGUGGGCUGCGGAAGAUACUAUAGAGCUAGGAGGCGGGAGAGGCAAGCGGUACUCGAUGGGUAGGGGUAAAAUCCGUUGAUCCAUUGAAGACCACCAGUGGCGAAGGCGGCUUGCCAGAACGCGCUCGACGGUGAGGGAUGAAAGCUGGGGGAGCAACCGG